rnacentral:rRNA from 1 species
UACGUAGGGCGCGAGCGUUGUCCGGAAUUAUUGGGCGUAAAGAGCUCGUAGGCGGCCGGUUGCGUCUGCUGUGAAAUCCCGGGGCUUAACCCCGGGCGUGCAGUGGAUACGGGCCGGCUGGAGGCAGGCAGGGGAGAAUGGAAUUCCCGGUGUGGCGGUGAAAUGCGCAGAUAUCGGGAGGAACACCUGUGGCGAAAGCGGCGCACUGGACCAUAACUGACGCUGAUGCGCGAAAGCUAGGGGAGCAAACAGG